GACGAACGCUGGCGGCGUGCUUAACACAUGCAAGUCGAGCGGUAAGGCCCUUUCGGGGGUACACGAGCGGCGAACGGGUGAGUAACACGUGGGUGACCUGCCCUCAGCUCUGGGAUAAGCCCGGGAAACUGGGUCUAAUACUGGAUAUGACUCCAUGACGCAUGUUGUGGGGUGGAAAGCCUUGUGCGGCUGAGGAUGGGCCCGCGGCCUAUCAGCUUGUUGGGGGGUGAUGGCCUACCAAGGCGACGACGGGUAGCCGGCCUGAGAGGGCGACCGGCCACACUGGGACUGAGACACGGCCCAGACUCCUACGGGAGGCAGCAGUGGGGAAUCUUGCGCAAUGGGCGAAAGCCUGACGCAGCGACGCCGCGUG
rnacentral:rRNA from 1 species